rnacentral:rRNA from 1 species
UACGUAGGGGGCAAGCGUUGUCCGGAUUUAUUGGGCGUAAAGAGCGUGUAGGCGGCUGGGUAGGUCCGUUGUGAAAACUCGAGGCUCAACCUCGAGACGCCGAUGGAAACCCUCCAGCUAGAGUCCGGAAGAGGAGAGUGGAAUUCCUGGUGUAGCGGUGAAAUGCGCAGAUAUCAGGAAGAACACCCGUGGCUAAGGCGGCUCUCUAGGACGGUACUGACGCUGAGACGCGAAAGCGUGGGGAGCGAACAGG